GUGUACACGUGUCAGUCAAGUCGUCGCUCUUUGUACGACUGUUUUAUAGCCGGCCGGCAGUGACGAUGACAGCGAACGCCGAACGUGAUUUAAUACGCCCACCGCCGCCCACGUAUUUAAACGUUCUUCUCCUUUGUCAGAUUUCAUUUUGAGCUUGGACCAAUAGUCUGAUCACCAAGUUAUUUUUCAUAUAUAAAUCUCGUUGAAAAUAUUCAACACAUGUUUUUAAAAUUAGUAGGUGAACACCAAAUAAUUAUGUAUGGACAGCCUGCCCACACACCAGAACUGCCACUGCAUGUGUUACAUGCAAUACAUAUUACGUC